UCCCCAGUGAGUCAGCGGUAAAAUGUCUGCCUGCAACGCAGGAGAUGCAGGUUUGAUCCCUGUGUAGGGAA
rnacentral:tRNA from 1 species